UGAAGGUUACCUGUGGUUCCCUCAGAGUGC
rnacentral:piRNA from 1 species